GCGGGAAUAGCUCAGUUGGUAGAGCACGACCUUGCCAAGGUCGGGGUCGGGUCUUAUAGUCUCGUUUCCCGCUCCA
rnacentral:tRNA from 1 species